UUGGAUAAAUUAUAAAGUAUAAAGCAGUAUAAAGAUGAAAAGCGUUCACCAUCAAUGCAACAAAACAUACCACAUCUUACAGAAAAACUGAAGGCCGUGAUCAUUCACAAACAUCUGAUGAAGCAU